AUGGACUACGGGCCCUCGGACAGCAGCGGAACUGAUGAUGACCUUCCACCACCAUAUCCGAAUAAUCCGAAUAAUAGGAGUAUAAGAGGCAGCGGACGUGCCAGUGGUAAUGGCAGAGCUAUUGUUCCUGUCAGUGGUAAUGGAAGGGCCAUUGCUCCUGCCAGCUCGUACCCUAGAGCCCAGACCGAUAUGGAAACACAAAUUCAACAGCUUGAGCAAGAAGCGUAUUGUGCAGUUCUGCGUGCUUUUAAAGCUCAGUCUGAUGCCCUCACAUGGGAGAAGGAGGGUCUGAUUACUGAACUUAGGAAGGAGCUAAGGGUAUCCGACAAAGAACACAGGGAGGUGCUAAACAGGGUCAAUGGUGAUGAUAUUAUCCGCAGCAUAAGGGAAUGGAGAUCAACAGGAGGCCUUCAGGCAAGCUUACCCAAUAAUCCUCAGCCUAUACAUCAUGACCCGGCGCCUAGCCCUACCACCUCUGGCCGUAAAAGGCAAAAGACAUCUCAAUCCGUUCCUCCCCUACCUGUACCGUCUCCUCCUGUUAUGCAUCCACAGCAGAUGGCUACACCAACACAACCUUCAUCUUCAGCAGCUAAAAAGGGAUUUCUGCCAGGCACUAAAGGCAAAAAGACAAAACCAGGCCAGAAGAUACCAGGGGGCCCUGCAGUCAAAUCUAUGCCACCUUCAGCAGGUCCCAGCGGAAGGGGACCACAUAUGAACAGAAACUUUCCUGGUCGCCCUGCUGCUCCUGAACCUUCUCAAGGACAGCAUCAUCUUAAUCCUUUAAUUGGCCGUAAAGUCAUGUCUCGGUGGCCUGAAGAUAAUAAUUUCUAUGAAGCCACUAUAACUGAUUACAAUGCGGAAAAGGACGUUUAUGCGCUAGUUUAUGACAUAAAUACAGCUAAUGAGACCUGGGAGUGGGUUGAUUUUAAAGAGAUAAAACCAGAAGACAUAAUCUGGCAAGGCGAGGACCCAGGAUUAUACCAAGGAGGUCGUGGUGCUCCAGGUAGCGGGGGUAAGAAGUCAACUAGCCGUGUUAUGCCCACACCAGGUACAGGUAGGGGGAGAGGAUUCCCAAAGAAUGUGUCGAAGAAAGACUUUCCACGUUCGCAAAAUGGCGUUGGGAAGAGAAGUUCUGAUGACAUUGAUAUACUUCACACUGAAAGCCUGAUAAAAGAGGUGGAGAGGGUCUUCAGUGUUAGUCAUCCUGAUCCUUUGGAGGUAGACAAGGCAAAGAAAGCGCUGAAGGAGCAAGAACAGUCGUUGAUUGAUGCGAUAGCAAGGCUUGCUGAGGCAUCUGAUGGCGAAAGUGAUGAGCGCAACCGUGGCCGAAGGAUGGGGCCAUAUGGUGGGCACCCGCAUCAAGGAAACUAUGCGGAUGCCAUGGCUGUUGAUGGCGACCACAUGGUCGGAGGUGCCGCCACAUAA
rnacentral:rRNA from 1 species